UUUAUGGAGAGUUUGAUCCUGGCUCAGAGUGAACGCUGGCGGCGUGCCUAAUACAUGCAAGUCGAACGAUGAAGCUUCUAGCUUGCUAGAAUACUGAUUAGUGGCGCACGGGUGAGUAACGCAUAGGUCAUGUGCCUCUUAGUUUGGGAUAGCCAUUGGAAACGAUGAUUAAUACCAGAUACUCCCUACGGGGGAAAGAUUUAUCGCUAAGAGAUCAGCCUAUGUCCUAUCAGCUUGUUGGUAAGGUAAUGGCUUACCAAGGCUAUGACGGGUAUCCGGCCUGAGAGGGUGAACGGACACACUGGAACUGAGACACGGUCCAGACUCCUACGGGAGGCAGCAGUAGGGAAUAUUGCUCAAUGGGGGAAACCCUGAAGCAGCAACGCCGCGUGGAGGAUGAAGGUUUUAGGAUUGUAAACUCCUUUUGUUAGAGAAGAUAAUGACGGUAUCUAACGAAUAAGCACCGGCUAACUCCGUGCCAGCAGCCGCGGUAAUACGGAGGGUGCAAGCGUUACUCGGAAUCACUGGGCGUAAAGAGCGCGUAGGCGGGAUAGUCAGUCAGGUGUGAAAUCCUAUGGCUUAACCAUAGAACUGCAUUUGAAACUACUAUUCUAGAGUGUGGGAGAGGUAGGUGGAAUUCUUGGUGUAGGGGUAAAAUCCGUAGAGAUCAAGAGGAAUACUCAUUGCGAAGGCGACCUGCUGGAACAUUACUGACGCUGAUUGCGCGAAAGCGUGGGGAGCAAACAGGAUUAGAUACCCUGGUAGUCCACGCCCUAAACGAUGGAUGCUAGUUGUUGGAGGGCUUAGUCUCUCCAGUAAUGCAGCUAACGCAUUAAGCAUCCCGCCUGGGGAGUACGGUCGCAAGAUUAAAACUCAAAGGAAUAGACGGGGACCCGCACAAGCGGUGGAGCAUGUGGUUUAAUUCGAAGAUACACGAAGAACCUUACCUAGGCUUGACAUUGAGAGAAUCCGCUAGAAAUAGUGGAGUGUCUAGCUUGCUAGACCUUGAAAACAGGUGUUGCACGGCUGUCGUCAGCUCGUGUCGUGAGAUGUUGGGUUAAGUCCCGCAACGAGCGCAACCCCCUUUCUUAGUUGCUAACAGGUUAUGCUGAGAACUCUAAGGAUACUGCCUCCGUAAGGAGGAGGAAGGUGGGGACGACGUCAAGUCAUCAUGGCCCUUACGCCUAGGGCUACACACGUGCUACAAUGGGGUGCACAAAGAGAAGCAAUACUGCGAAGUGGAGCCAAUCUUCAAAACACCUCUCAGUUCGGAUUGUAGGCUGCAACUCGCCUGCAUGAAGCUGGAAUCGCUAGUAAUCGCAAAUCAGCCAUGUUGCGGUGAAUACGUUCCCGGGUCUUGUACUCACCGCCCGUCACACCAUGGGAGUUGUGUUUGCCUUAAGUCAGGAUGCUAAAUUGGCUACUGCCCACGGCACACACAGCGACUGGGGUGAAGUCGUAACAAGGUAACCGUAGGUGAACCUGCGGUUGGAUCACCUCCUUUCUAGA
rnacentral:rRNA from 1 species